GGGGAAUGGUGUUUACGUUAGUCUCUGGUUAAAGCUAAAGGGUAAAAGUAGCGCUUGGAUGAAGAAAAGAGAUGUCCUGGAGUUCAGGGCUGUCCGUGUUUGAGGAAAUUAAACGAGUGCCUUGAACCCAGGAGAAAAGCUGACUGCCCUUGUCCGCGAAUCUACAGUCUCCAUCGACUCCCAGAGGAUAAGGAAGCAAAAAUUAAUUGGUUAAAAAAUCUAAACCUUAAAAAGCCCCCAAAGACGGAUGUUUAUUUUCAUUUCGUGGAGAAAAUGUCUCUUGGUUACGACAGACCACCAGCAAAGAGAAGAGGCCGCCUCGUCAGGAGAAUGCAGAUAAAUGCCACAGAUUGACGAUGGUGUUCUGUUUGAGGAGAAAGACCCACAAUGCCGUUCUGCUACCUCCUGCGGAGGAGUGGAUGGAGACGAGGAAGUUGGCUGAGAUGAGGAAGAUGCAGCUUCCUGGGACCUCCUGGCGGUGCUAGUUGAGAUUAAAAAGAUCUGAAACAAGACAAAUAUUCAGCACUGAGAGAUCAAAGCGGCGGCCUCCUCGUCUUUCACAGAAGUGGCGUUUCAUAAGCGGCCAAAAACAUUUUCAGAGGAACUUCAUCGCUUGAUGUUCGGGACACGGAGGCAGGAGGGACGGAGCGGCAUCGAGGUCCAGGAAAUGAAAGGGUGAAGGCAUUCAUGUCUGGUAGAAACAUGGAAAUAAUCUGAUCAACUGUGUCCUGCUGAGGGAUUCGCUCGUUCUGAUUUCACUGACUAGCAUCUGUAACGUGUCGUCGUUCGCUGGUACCUGGGGUCUGUCCGGCAGAGGUGCGUCAGGCGGGUCUUGAUGGCCCCUGUGGGCUCCAGCAGGUAGAGGCAGCUGUGGACGUGGGCCCUGACCCCCUCCGCCUGGACCUCAGGGCACUCAGUGGACGUGGAGGACAGGUACAGAGGCCCGCGGGACGGAUCGGCCUGCCAGGUUCUGACCAGGAGAAGAACAGAACAUGUUUACAGCGAGGAAGAGUUAUUUUUAAUCCGUAAAGCUGAUA